CAGCAGUAGCGAUAAUUUUACUCUUCGUAUUGCUAUUGUCGCCUGCCGUUUCGAGUCAUCGGGGCAGCGACGAAAGUAGCUUCACGCUACACGGUCGCUGUCUCUAGUAGGAAACCGUUCUAUUCGCGCACGGGUUGCUAUCUUUCUGUUCAACUAGAAGCCAAGUGACUAACGAGUAAGAACUGUGAUCCCGUAGAAAAAACAACUCCUUAAUUCGAGAAUCUUUGAAUAGCCGACAAACCAGCCAUUUAGCCACCUGCGGCGUAACUUCAGCUAACGAUAUACGUUGAAAUGAUGAACCGUUUGUUCUUUAUCGCCUUUAUUUGAUUUGGCCAUAAACUAUCACAGAACUAAGCUCAUUUCGAUCGGUCGUUCAGCUUCUUGCGGUCGAUAAUUUUCUACGUCGGAAGGCUAAAACCAUGCUAAAUUACAUCAAUGUGUAGUCUUAAAAUCAAGAGCUGAUUAGUGCAUGUAUUUAGAGACCUGAGCAAGUAAAAAAAUAGAAAAUUCUCAACGUGUAACGAGCGACAUAGUGGCUGAAUUAACUAGCAUGUUGAAACUCGUUGAAAGUCUGAUCGUCGCGUUGGUGACAGUUGGUAAUAUUGAAGAUAUACAAAGCAGUAGUGCCAGAUCACUUUCGUAUAGUUACUACCCGAACGUCAAGACAAAAAUGGAUAAAUGCGUGCAUCCUAUAUACGCCGUCCUAUUCACAGGAGAUUAUUACCCAAAAGGCCUGUGCGAAAGACACAGGUGCUUUAUUAAUGCCGGUGGACAAGGUCAUUUGGUAUUUAUGAGCAGGUCACCUUGAAGUAACAGGAUGCCCUCCACCGCAGAUUCGUGGUUGUUGGCCCCUGAGCAAUGAAACUCAACCUUAUCCAAGAUGCUGCAAGCACGUGAUGGUGUGUGUCCAAGGAGCGAUGGAUCACGGGGAUCACGGCAGUUUCAGCGUCGUCGAAGCCAGCCCGGGCGAUUUGAAACCGAGGCCGUAUCGCCGACCCCGAAAGGGGCUUAUCUCACACUAUUGCAAAUAAACACAAGAAACUCUCAACCCGUGAAUUAGUCGCCAUUCGUACCUUAUGCAUCUAGACAUUGAGCUAUAGUAUAUAUAUACGAUAUUUAGUAACGGUAAAAGCCCACAUCACACAGAAAUGCUUAGGGCGAACAUGUAGUAACGGAUAAAAUGAUCGAACAAUUGGCCCAGAAUUUAAGCUAUAGCUAGAAUAAAGUAUUUUUGCCGCGUCUAACAAGAUCAAAGCAAAUUUUUUUAAUUCGCUACGAGAGUUACGAUUUUAAGUAUAAGCUUUGAAGAGUGCAACGAUAGGAUCAUUUA